rnacentral:rRNA from 1 species
AUUGAACGCUGGCGGAAUGCUUUACACAUGCAAGUCGAACGGCAGCACGGGGCAACCUGGUGGCGAGUGGCGAACGGGUGAGUAAUACAUCGGAACGUGCCCAGUCGUGGGGGAUAACGUAGCGAAAGAUACGCUAAUACUGCAUACGAUCUAAGGACGAAAGCGGGGGAUCGCCAGACCUCGCGCGAUUGGAGCGGCCGAUGUCAGAUUAGGUAGUCGGUGGGGUAAAGGCCCACCAAGCCGACGAUCUGUAUCUGGUCUGAGAGGACGACCAGCCACACUGGGACUGAGACACGGCCCAGACUCCUACGGGAGGCAGCAGUGUGGAAUUUUGGACAAUAGGCGCAAGCCUGAUCCAGCCAUUCCGCGUGCAGGAUGAAGGCCUUCGGGUUGUAAACUGCUUUUGUACGGAGCGAAAAGGCUCUCUCUAAUACAGGGGGCUCAUGACGGUACCGUAAGAAUAAGCACCGGCUAACUACGUGCCAGCCGCCGCGGUAA